rnacentral:misc_RNA from 1 species
CUGGCUUUUGGUUGCUUGCUUUGCCUUCGUGUUGAGCAGGUGGCUAUUUGCUGGGGCAGUUUCGGGGAAUGAAGACCGUAAAGGUGCAUGAGUGGUGUUUGGUUUGUUAUGGGUGGUUGGCUGUCUGCUUGUGCAGCAACGUCCACGCAUGCUUACCUCUUCAUUUUAGCGCCAAGGCCUGCUUUGCCUUGAGCGUUUAGUGGGUUUCCUGUGUUGCAUACCUAAUUGAUGGUAUUCUACAGAACAUCAUUGUUAUUUUUCGUCGUGCGUCGCUCAUGUGGCGUGAGACGAACCGUGUAGCGGUCUCUAUGCUCCAUCUUGUCAAUGUCCAUGCAUUGAUGACUUGGCCCUAUGAGCAUUGCUUGGUAUCUUGGAUACGGAACCUUAUGCGGGCAUGGGUCCUACGYGAUCCUUCUUUUGCCCUUCUUAAGCGUUCUCGCUUCUCCAAAACGACUGCCCGUCACGUGUUGGCAUGUCC